AAGUCGUAACAAGGUUUCCGUAGGUGAACCUGCGGAAGGAUCAUUACCGAGUUCGUGCCCUCGCGGGUAGAUCUCCCACCCUUUGUAUACUAUACCUUUGUUGCUUUGGCGGGCCGCCUAGCUACUGGCUUCGGCUGGUAAGUGCCCGCCAGAGGACCCAAAACCCUGAAUAUUAGUGUCGUCUGAGUAAAAUUUUAAUAUUUAAAACUUUCAACAACGGAUCUCUUGGCUCUG
rnacentral:misc_RNA from 1 species